AGCAGUAGCCGCGGUAAUACGUAGGGCGCAAGCGUUAUCCGGAAUUAUUGGGCGUAAAGAGCUCGUAGGCGGUUUGUCGCGUCUGCCGUGAAAGUCCGGGGCUCAACCCCGGAUCUGCGGUGGGUACGGGCAGACUAGAGUGAUGUAGGGGAGACUGGAAUUCCUGGUGUAGCGGUGAAAUGCGCAGAUAUCAGGAGGAACACCGAUGGCGAAGGCAGGUCUCUGGGCAUUAACUGACGCUGAGGAGCGAAAGCAUGGGGAGCGAACAGGAUUAGAUACCCGCGUAGUCCCUGUCUCUUAUAC
rnacentral:rRNA from 1 species